CCCAACCCAAUGUGAACGUUACAAACUGUUGCCUCGGCGGGGUCACGCCCCGGGUGCGUCGCAGCCCCGGAACCAGGCGCCCGCCGGAGGAACCAACCAAACUCUUUCUGUAGUCCCCUCGCGGACGUAUUUCUUACAGCUCUGAGCAAAAAUUCAAAAUGAAUCAAAACUUUCAACAACGGAUCUCUUGGUUCUGGCAUCGAUGAAGAACGCAGCGAAAUGCGAUAAGUAAUGUGAAUUGCAGAAUUCAGUGAAUCAUCGAAUCUUUGAACGCACAUUGCGCCCGCCAGUAUUCUGGCGGGCAUGCCUGUCCGAGCGUCAUUUCAACCCUCGAACCCCUCCGGGGGAUCGGCGUUGGGGAUCGGGACCCCUCACACGGGUGCCGGCCCCUAAAUACAGUGGCGGUCUCGCCGCAGCCUCUCCUGCGCAGUAGUUUGCACAACUCGCACCGGGAGCGCGGCGCGUCCACGUCCGUAAAACACCCAACUUUCUGAAAUGUAGACCUCGGAUCGGGUAGAAUACCCGGUGAAGAUUCCUCAUCGUAUACCCCAGAAAAGGAUCAUUACCGAGUUUACGACUCCAACCCAUGUGAACGUU
rnacentral:sRNA from 1 species